AGCAUUUGCAACAGUUCGGGCUAACUAUA
rnacentral:piRNA from 1 species